rfam:Triticum urartu cultivar G1812 contig57488, whole genome shotgun sequence.
UUGAUACUCCCUCUGUCUGAAAAUACUUGUCGGAGAAAUGGAUAAAAAUGGAUGUAUCUAGAACUAAAAAAUGUCCGGAUACAUCCAUUUCUUAGACAACUAUUUUCGGACAGAGGUUAUACUAG